rnacentral:rRNA from 1 species
AAUGAACGCUGGCGGCAUGCCUAACACAUGCAAGUCGAACGAAGGCUUCGGCCUUAGUGGCGCACGGGUGCGUAACGCGUGGGAAUCUGCCCCUUGGUUCGGAAUAACAGUUAGAAAUGACUGCUAAUACCGGAUGAUGACGUAAGUCCAAAGAUUUAUCGCCGAGGGAUGAGCCCGCGUAGGAUUAGCUAGUUGGUGUGGUAAGAGCGCACCAAGGCGACGAUCCUUAGCUGGUCUGAGAGGAUGAUCAGCCACACUGGGACUGAGACACGGCCCAGACUCCUACGGGAGGCAGCAGUGGGGAAGAUUGGACAAUGGGCGAAAGCCUGAUCCAGCAAUGCCGCGUGAGUGAUGAAGGCCUUAGGGUUGUAAAGCUCUUUUACCCGGGAUGAUAAUGACAGUACCGGGAGAAUAAGCUCCGGCUAACUCCG